rnacentral:rRNA from 1 species
UAUAAACCUAGGUAAACACAAAUUUAAAUCUUCUAUACCUCUUUAUACACCAUAAAAAGAAUUUAACCCCACUGGAGUAAUGUAAUUUGAAACACGAUAAAAACCAAUAGAGAUCAGUACCGCAAGGGAACGGUUGAAAUAAAACUAAUUCCUAAACCUAAAAAAGGAAAGAUUAACCCUUUUACCUUGUGUAUAAUGGAUUAACAAGCCAAAAGAAGAAGAAUUCUAUACUCGAAACUAGGCGAGCUAACCCUGCCUACCUUUUAGAGGAAAACUCCUACUGUUGCAAUAGUAGGCCUAAAGGUAGGGUUAGAUGUGAAAUGCUAACCGCGCCAAGAGAUAGCUAGCUCCCCAAGAAAUUAGUCUUAGCUAAGCUCCUCUUACUAAACUUUAACACAAAGUACCAGUUACAAAGAGAAUCUUAAACCUUUAGAAAAGAGAGAGUCAGGAUAACGAGGACAAGCUCGUUAUUCAAAAUGGAAAAACCCAGCUACUUUAGAUAAAGACAAAGAACAAGUCAAAUAGUUUAAUUUCCCCGAGUAGGCCUAGAAGCAGCCCUCUCAUUAGAAAGCGUUAAAGCUCAAGAUAAUAAAAAACUAAUAAAUCCCUGAACCCAUAUCUGAAUCUAAAUAAACUUAUUGGGGGAUCUUAUGUUUAAAAGACACAAUGUUAAUAUGAGUACGUCACCUCCCACCUGCUUUUUAAACGAGAUUAACCUUGGAUAUAAAAAUACUAAACCUAGAAACCCCAUUUUUAAUUCCGUCUUCCAACUCAGGAGGGAAAAAAGAAAGUUAAAUAAAAAGAAGGAACUCGGCAAAUCCUAGUUUCGCCUGUUUACCAAAAACAUCGCUCCCUGUCUUACACUCACAUAGGGAGUCCUGCCUGCCCAGUGACAUUUAGUUAAACGGCCGCGGUAUCUUGACCGUGCUAAGGUAGCAUAAUCACUUGUCUCCUAAAUAGAGACUAGUAUGAAUGGCAAGACGGAACUUAACUGUCUCCUUUUUACUUCAGAAAUUCACUUUCCCGUGAAGAGGCGGGAAUGCACUCGCUAGACGAGAAGACCCUGUCGAGCUUAAGGAAAUAUUUAGACCUAGAUUUUAUUUUUACCUUUGCUAACUCAUAAACCUACAAAGAUAAUAAAUUUUCUAGUCUCUAAGUAUACCUUUGGUUGGGGCAACCAUGGAGAAAACCAAUCCUCCAUUAGUACAAUUUUCCACUGUAUAAUGAACAAGAAACACACUUCUAAAAUGAACAAAGUUCAACAGCUGAUCCGCCAAGGCGAUCAAAGGAACAAGUUACCGCAGGGAUAACAGCGUUAUCUUUUCUGAGAGUCCACAUUGACGAAAAGGUUUGCGACCUCGAUGUUGGAUCGGGACAUCCUAAAGGUGCAGAAGCUUUUAAGGGUUGGUCUGUUCGACCAUUAAAGUCCUACGUGAUCUGAGUUCAGACCGGCGAGAGCCAGGUCAGCUUCUAUCUACGAAAGUUUCUUUUUUAGUACGAAAGGACCAAAAAGAAGAUGUCCAUGCACAAAUGUAAACAUCUAAAAUUAAAAAA